GGUCAGGACGAACGCUGGCGGCGUGCCUAACACAUGCAAGUCGAACGAAGUAUGUUUUUCGGAAUGUACUUAGUGGCGGACGGGUGAGUAACGCGUGAAUAAUCUGCCCCAUACAGGGGGAUAGCCUCGGGAAACCGGGAUUAAAACCGCAUGAUGCUUUUUUAUCGCAUGGUAGAGAAGUCAAAUCGAAUAAGAGGUACAGGAUGAGUUCGCGUCUGAUUAGCUAGUUGGCGGGGUAAGAGCCCACAAAGGCGACGAUCAGUAGCCGGCCUGAGAGGGUGACCGGCCACACUGGAACUGAGACACGGUCCAGACUCCUACGGGAGGCAGCAAGUGGGGAAUAUUGCACAAUGGAGGGAACUCUGAUGCAGCGACGCCGCGUGAGUGAAGAAGGUCUUCGGAUCGUAAAACUCUGUCCUUGGUGACGAAAAAAUGACGGUA
rnacentral:rRNA from 1 species